CAGUCAUGCAGGCAAAACCGCAUGAAAAAUGUAAAGCGUUAUGUGGAUCGAACAUUAGUAGAGAAGCGUGUGAGCCAGCUGCCAAGAAAAGCCGCUAUUGCUUCAUAAGUACCCGUACCGUAAACCGACACAGGUGGAUGAGGAGAGAAUCCUAAGGCCGGCGGGAGAAGUGUUGUUAAGGAACUCGGCAAAAUGACUCCGUAACUUCGGGAGAAGGAGUGCCACAGAGAUGUGGCCGCAGAGAAAUGGCCCAAGCAACUGUUUAGCAAAAACACAGGUCUAUGCAAAACCGAAAGGUGAGGUAUAUGGGCUGACGCCUGCCCGGUGCUGGAAGGUUAAGAGGAGAGGUUAGAGCAAUCGAAGCUUUGAAUUUAAGCCCCAGUAAACGGCGGCCGUAACGAUAACGGUCCUAAGGUAGCGAAAUUCCUUGUCGGGUAAGUUCCGACCCGCACGAAAGGCGUAAUGAUUUGGGCACUGUCUCAACAACACACCCGGUGAAAUUGAAAUACCAGUGAAGAUGCUGGUUACCUGCGCCAGGACGGAAAGACCCCAUGGAGCUUUACUCCAGUUUUGAUACUGGGAUUCGGUACUGUCUGUACAGGAUAGGUGGGAGGCUAGGAAAUGGUGACGCCAGUUGCCAUGGAGCCAACCUUGGGAUACCACCCUUACAGUACUGGGUUUCUAACCUGCAGCCGUAACCCGGCUGGGGGACAAUGUCUGACGGGGAGUUUGACUGGGGCGGUCGCCUCCGAAAGAGUAUCGGAGGCGCUCAAAGGUUCCCUCAGAACGGUUGGAAACCGUUCGAAGAGUGCAAAGGCAGAAGGGAGCUUGACUGCGACACCGACGGGUGGAGCAGAUACGAAAGUAGGACUUAGUGAUCCGGUGGUAUAAAGUGGGAUUGCCAUCGCUCAACGGAUAAAAGCUACCCUGGAUAACAGGCUUAUCACUCCCAAGAGUUCACAUCGACGGAGUGGUUUGGCACCUCGAUGUCGGCUCAUCGCAUCCUGGAGCUGUAGCAGGUUCCAAGGGUUGGGCUGUUCGCCCAUUAAAGCGGUACGCGAGCUGGGUUCAGAACGUCGUGAGACGGUUCGGUCCCUAUCCGGCGUGGGCGUAGGAUAUUUGAGAGGAGCUGUCCUUAGUACGAGAGGACCGGGAUGGACAAACCUCUGGUGUAUCUGUUGUUUUACCAAAGGCAUGGCAGAGUAGCCAAGUUUGGCAGGGAUAAACGCUGAAGGCAUCUAAGCGUGAAGCCCCCCUCAAGAUAAGAUAUCCCAUCUUCGGAGUAAGACCCCUUGAAGACUACAAGGUUGAUAGGCUUUGUGUGUAAGUGCGGUAACGCACUCAGCUGAGAAGUACUAAUAGGUCGAGGACUUAUC
rnacentral:rRNA from 1 species